AUUGAACGCUGGCGGCAGGCCUAACACAUGCAAGUCGAACGAGUGGCGGACGGGUGAGUAAUGUCUGGGAAACUGCCUGAUGGAGGGGGAUACCUACUGGAAACGGUAGCUAAUACCGCAUACCAUCAGAGUUGCACAGAUGGGAUUAGCUUGUUGGUGGGGUAACGGUUCACCAAGGCAAAGAUCCCUAGCUGGUCGGAGAGGAGUACCAGCCCACCUGGAACUGAGACACGGUCAAGCUUCCUACGGGAGGCAGCAGUGGGGAAUAUUGCACAAUGGGCGCAAGCCUGAUGCAGCCAUGCCGCGUGUAUGAAGAGGGCCUUCGGGUUGUAAAGUCCUUUCAGCGGGGAGGCGUUACCCGCAGAAGAAGCACCGGCUAACUCCGUGCCAGCAGCCGCGGUAAUAC
rnacentral:rRNA from 1 species